rnacentral:rRNA from 1 species
GAUGAACGCUGGCGGCGUGCCUAAUACAUGCAAGUCGAGCGAACGGACGAGAAGCUUGCUUCUCUGAUGUUAGCGGCGGACGGGUGAGUAACACGUGGAUAACCUCCCUAUAAGACUGGGAUAACUUCGGGAAACCGGAGCUAAUACCGGAUAAUAUUUUGAACCGCAUGGUUCAAAAGUGAAAGACGGUCUUGCUGUCACUUAUAGAUGGAUCCGCGCUGCAUCAGCUAGUUGGUAGGGUAACGGCUUACCAAGGCAACGAUGCAUAGCCGACCUGAGAGGGUGAUCGGCCACACUGGAGCUGGGACACGGUCAAGACGCCUACGGGAGGCAGCAGAAGGGAAUCUUCCGCAAUGGGCGAAAGACUGACGGAGAAACGCCGCGUGAGUGAUGAAGGUCUUCGGAUCGUAAAACGCUGUUAUUAGGGAAGAACACAUGUGUAAGUAACUGUGCACAGCUUGACGGUACAUAAGCAGAAAGACACGGCUAACUACGUG